UGCAAGUCGAACGAGAUCUUCGGAUCUAGUGGCGGACGGGUGAGUAACGCGUGGGAAUAUGCCCUUUGGUUUUACGGAAUAGCCUCGGGAAACUGAGAGUAAUACCGUAUGUGUCCUCUGAUCGUGGUGGUUGGAGGAGAAAUUUAUCGCCAAAGGAUUAGCCCGCGUUGGAUUAGAUAGUUGGUGGGGUAAUGGCCUACCAAGUCUACGAGUCCAUAGCUGGUUUGAGAGGAUGAUCAGCCACACUGGGACUGAGACACGGCCCAGACUCCUACGGGAGGCCCAGCAGUGGGGAAUCUUAGACAAUGGGGGCAACCCUGAUCUAGCCAUGCCGCGUGAUCGAUGAAGGCCUUACGGGUUGUAAAGAUCUUUCAGUUGGGAAGAUAAUGACGGUACCAACAGAAGAAGCCCCGGCUAACUCCGUGACCAGCAGCCGCGGUAAUACGGAGGGGGCUAGCGUUAUUCGGAAUUACUGGGCGUAAAGCGCACGUAGGCGUUGACUGGAAAGUUAGAGGUGAAAUCCCAGGGCUCAACCUUGGAACUGCCUUUAAAACUAUCAGUCUAGAGAGUCGAGAGAGGUGAGUGGAAUUCCGAGUGUAGAGGUGAAAUUCGUAGAUAUUCGGAGGAACACCAGUGGCGCAAGGCGGCUCACUGGCUCGAUACUGACGCUGAGGUGCGAAAGCGUGGGGAGCAAACAGGAUUAGAUACCCAUGGUAGUCCACGCCGUAAACGAUGAAUGCCAGUCGUCGGGUUGCAUGCAAUUCGGUGACACACCUAACGGCAUUAAGCAUUCCGCCUGGGGAGUACGGUCGCAAGAUUAAAACUCAAAGGAAUUGACGGGGGCCCGCACAACGCGGUGGAGCAUGUGGUUUAAUUCGAAGCAACGCGCAGAACCUUACCAACCCUUGACAUGGGUAUCGCGGUAUCCAGAGAUGGAUCUUUCAGUUCGGCUGGAUACCACACAGGUGCUGCAUGGCUGUCGUCAGCUCGUGUCCGUGAGAUGUUCGGUUAAGUCCGGCAACGAGCGCAACCCACGUCCCUAGUUGCCAGCAUUCAGUUGGGCACAAUCUAUGGAAACUGCCGAUGAUAAGUCGGAGGAAGGUGUGGAUGACGUCAAGUCCUCAUGGCCCUUACGGGUAUGGGCUACACACGUGCUACAAUGGCAGUGACAAUGGGUUAAUCCCUAAAAGCUGUCUCAGUUCGGAUUGGCGGUCUGCAACUCGACCCCAUGAAGUCGGAAUCGCUAGUAAUCGCGUAACAGCAUGACGCGGUGAAUACGUAAUCCCGGGCCUUGUACACACCGCCCGUCACACCAUGGGAAUUGGUUCUACCCGACGACGCUGCGCUAACCGCUUACGGGAGGCAGGCGGCCAC
rnacentral:rRNA from 1 species